rnacentral:rRNA from 1 species
CCUACGGGAGGCAGCAGUGGGGAAUUUUGGACAAUGGGCGCAAGCCUGAUCCAGCCAUGCCGCGUGCGGGAAGAAGGCCUUCGGGUUGUAAACCGCUUUUGUCAGGGAAGAAAUCCUUUGGGCUAAUACCUCGGAGGGAUGACGGUACCUGAAGAAUAAGCACCGGCUAACUACGUGCCAGCAGCCGCGGUAAUACGUAGGGUGCGAGCGUUAAUCGGAAUUACUGGGCGUAAAGCGUGCGCAGGCGGUUAUGCAAGACAGAUGUGAAAUCCCCGGGCUUAACCUGGGAACUGCAUUUGUGACUGCAUAGCUCGAGUACGGCAGAGGGGGAUGGAAUUCCGCGUGUAGCAGUGAAAUGCGUAGAUAUGCGGAGGAACACCGAUGGCGAAGGCAAUCCCCUGGGCCUGUACUGACGCUCAUGCACGAAAGCGUGGGGAGCAAACAGGAUUAGAUACCCUGGUAGUCCACGCCCUAAACGAUGUCAACUGGUUGUUGGACGGCUUGCUGUUCAGUAACGAAGCUAACGCGUGAAGUUGACCGCCUGGGGAGUACGGCCGCAAGGUUGAAACUUAAGAGUAGUAGGCGUGAGAGAGCGACGACGACGACGACGGAGGGAGGAG